AAGCCCCCGGCUCAACCGGGGAGGGUCAUUGGAAACUGGGGAACUUGAGUGCAGAAGAGGAGAGUGGAAUUCCACGUGUAGCGGUGAAAUGCGUAGAGAUGUGGAGGAACACCAGUGGCGAAGGCGACUCUCUGGUCUGUAACUGACGCUGAGGCGCGAAAGCGUGGGGAGCGAACAGGAUUAGAUACCCUGGUAGUCCACGCCGUAAACGAUGAGUGCUAAGUGUUAGAGGGUUUCCGCCCUUUAGUGCUGCAGCAAACGCAUUAAGCACUCCGCCUGGGGAGUACGGUCGCAAGACUGAAACUCAAAGGAAUUGACGGGGGCCCGCACAAGCGGUGGAGCAUGUGGUUUAAUUCGAAGCAACGCGAAG
rnacentral:rRNA from 1 species